AUUGAACGCUGGCGGCAGGCCUAACCCAUGCAAGUCGAACGAGUGGCGGACGGGUGAGUAAUGUCUGGGCAACUGCCUGAUGGAGGGGGAUAACUACUGGAAACGGUAGCUAAUACCGCAUACCAUCAGAUGUGCCCAGCUGGGAUUAGCUGGUAGGAGGGGUAACUGCUCACCUAGGCGACGAUCCCGAGCUGGUCUGCGAGGAUGAACAGCCACACUGGAACUGAGACACGGUCCAGACUCCUACGGGAGGCAGCAGUGGGGAAUAUUGCACAAUGGGCGCAAGCCCGAUGCAGCCAUGCCGCGUGUAUGAAGAGGGCCUUCGGGUUGUAAAGUACUUUCAGCAGGGAGGCGUUACCUGCAGAAGAAGCACCGGCUAACUCCGUGCCAGCAGCCGCGGUAAUUC
rnacentral:rRNA from 1 species